rnacentral:rRNA from 2 species
UACGGAGAGGGCGAGUGUUAUUCGCAUUGACUGGGUGUAAAGGGUGCGUAGGUGGUUUGUUAAGUUUUAAGGUAAAUGUUAAACAUAAAGUUUAAACCCCUUUUAAUACUAAUAAACUAGAGUUUAUUGGAAGAUAGCUGAACAUUAAGUGUAAAGGUGAAAUUUUUCGAUAUUUAAAGGACAUGCAAUAGGCGAAGGCUGCUAUCUACUUUAAUACUGACACUGAGGCACAAAAGCAUAGGGAUCAAACAGG